UUCAUCACUGAUGACUUGAACACUUUGCUAAGGGGACAGAGAAUCCUUCAUUACCUGAGGAAAACUUGGAAAGAAUUUAAACAAUCAGUGCAUGUGAAAGGAGGAUUUAAAGAGAUGUAAGGAGAAAAUUGCCCCAGAUCACACUUGGAAAAAGGUUAGAGCUCCUGACUCAAAGUACUUCUGUAGUCAUCCUAUGACUAGGCACAGCUCCCACAGGAACUACGCUGUCUGGUAGUGGCAAUGAACUGAGGAGUGAGACACUACAUGGGGCUCAGCUUUGAUGGAAGGACUGAGGAUGCCCUAAUUUCCAGACUUGAGAUGCCCUGCUGGCAUGGAUCAUGGACCUAUCACUUAAGUCUUCCUGCUUCCUGAGUAGUUUCUCUAAUCUUUAGGUUAUUGCAUUGAAGAUACUUCCAACAGUUAAAGUGAUUCACCACUGAGUGCCAGUCUGAAUGGCUGUAAAACACUUUGCAGCCCUGCAUAAAUACACAGGAGACAGUAUCUCCACUACUCUAAAUGAACGUAUCACUCUCAACUUCAAAGGAAGUAAGAUCGUUUGCACCAGAUGAAGACCCAGUCCCAUAGGAAUUUCCUGCUUUGCCAGUAUUAAGUUGCUAUCUCAUGUCUUGCUUCAGCUGAUCUGGAUCAAACGGUUCCCAGUACCAGCUACUUGUCACUGUCUCCUGUGAAGGUUAUCCCCCUCUCCCCGUCCCCUAUUCUCCCCCUCUGAUAUGUGCAUGUAAUUGUUCCCUAACCCAGUUCAAUCAAAAUGAAACAGGUUAGGAAAAAAACCCUCCUAUUUAAAGUGUGUGAGCUAACCUGGAUCAUUUUGACUGAACUGGGUCAGAGAGUGAUUGUAUGUGCAGUUAUACUAACUGAACGAAAAGGAAGGGGGACAAUCUAUUUGCUUGACUUAGUAGCAGUCAGAGCAGGACAUAUGAUUGCAGCUUUAUGCAAACUAUACACAUAGAGCAGCUUUGGACGGUACAAACUGGCAUGCAGUCUAAGACAUGCUUCACUGUGCACAAACACUUUCCUUUUGAUGUGGUUUCAGCCUACCUGAAAUGCUGCAGCAAAUCCUCCUGAAACUGAAACAGAGUAGGCAAGUGGCUAUCUCAGGUCUCCCAAUGUGCAGAUGCCUUGGGAAGUUCUUUCACAGGACUCAAAGUACUGACAAAACCCUGCAAUUAAAAUGGUUUACAAUAGUGCUGGGGGAGAUUUAGGGCAAAAGCUUACAUGUUUGUCUUUUGAAAUCAGCCCGACAGUUUUAUUCUGGCAGAUAGAAGCAGCCUCUUUUUAUCCAUUCUGGAAGGGAGAAAGGGUUUGCUAUCAGUGUAAGCAUGCAAGCGUUACUGCUUCCUGUCUAAGAGAUUCAACUGUUCCUCAAGUAAGGACAGUUAGUGUAGACAUUUGGGUUUAAGAGAAAGCACAGUCUUUGUUAACAGCUCAUUUUAUAUAAUAAGCUUGUAUCCUUCCUGCCCUUUUAUUGAGCUGUAGAGAAACCAAUGGAAUGUCUUUUUGGAUGUGUAUUUUUUGGAUGUGUAGAAAGCUAGGCUUUUCCAAAGCAAGGGCCAAUAUUACUAGAAGGCUUAUUUCUUUCUUGAAAGAAGGAAAAAAAUCUCUAAUGAUUUUGUUUGGGGUGUUGCACAGAAACAGUCUUCAUUGCAGGUUCUCUUCUUCAGUUCUCCAUUAUUCAUGACCUGACAACAGCACGGAAAACAUUGUUCCAGAUAAAAUGACAUUCUGAGUACUCUUCAGGUAACAAGAAAAUGGGAGCACAAAGGAGCAACAUCUCAGAUAGGAGGUCCUACUUUGUCUAAUCCACCCUAGUAUCGUUUGCUUUUUGCAAGACUCGGGACAGGAAACCAUUUUGUCUUACAGACCUCAUCUCGUUUCAGCAUGACCAUGUAGUUAGGAAAAGGUCACUGUGACCCCAGUUCAGUGGCUGCCCAGCCAUACAACAUUAGUUAAGUCAUUUCACGUCUCUGUCUCUCUCUUGUAAGAUGAACUUAAGAAUAUUGUGGCCCCAGGUGAAUCAAGAGGCUGAACUAAUGGCAACUCUAAGCACUUGGUACGGGUGCCCAGAAAAAUAUUAAUCAAGGGCAGCUGCCAGUUAGUACUAUUUGAAAAUCCUAACUGAGAACUUUGAUUCACAGUCCCUCUCAAAUUGAGCAUGUCUUCAGAUGCUACAGUUAUCCCGGUAAACUGAUAGCAGUUUACACUAAUAUGCCCGGCAGUGAGCUGUGGUGUCUGAGGGGCAGGCAUACUGCUUGUUGUACUGACUCUGCAGUGGGCUGUUAAUCUUUCCCCACGGGAAAAGGGUGGACAGCUGGAAACAGUAACCUCUUUUGCCACUGCAGUUAAACCCAUCAGAGACUGUGAAUCAGAGCCCUUAUUGCCUUCCACAUGAGUGUUCCCCGUUUAUGCGCUGAAGAAAUGAUGCAUUCAAUAGAAAAUAAAGUGCUGAAAGCAUUAAACUAUUUAAUAGCACAGUAGGAGACACUGAAACCUUUUGUCAUUAAUCUCUAAUAAUUAGGAGCUGCUGUUAAUUUCUUUUAAGAUAUAGCAGAAUAAUGAAACGUUAUCACUGUUGACAUGCAAUGACAUAAUGUGAUUCAGAAUCUUGUGUACACCCUAUUUUGCACCCCUGCCUAUGUGAUCUGAAAUUUGAAGUUCAACUUCAAGCUUUCUUUUCCAAAGCAAACUUUUCAAAAUACAAAGUCUGUGAGGGAAAGAGCAUCUGCUUAACUAAGAAAACAAUAAUUGUCUUGUUUUCACUCCAAAUUGAGAUGAAGUCAAAUUUUGAAUUUAAUCACAAACCAAGAUUUUGGAGUUUCAAUUUGUGCUUGAAAUCAUGGAAGAAAAGUGACAAUAAACAUGACAUGUUUACAUGGAAAGAGGAAAUCAUUUCAGAUUACCUGA